rnacentral:lncRNA from 1 species
ACCCGUUUUACCUUGCUAUGGCAACAGCAGGAAUACAUGGGCAUGCAUCAUCUCAUAUCUGAAGAUCAGAGACUCACACCAGCUCAACAUUGUAGAACCUCUUUAGUAAAGAAUGCAUAGUAAACAGUGAAAAUGUCCAGAGCUUCCAUGAUAGCCAUUUUUAACUGCAAGGAAGGAAAGAAGUUGAUGGGAAAGGGCAGGGGAGAAGCUGGACUAUGAAGAGGGAGAAGAAAUGUCAGAUUUUAUGGAGUAAUCAUAAAUCCAGAGUCCAAUUGUUUUUAGAGCUAAAGCACAAACAUGUAACUUACAAUGCAUUUUGUUAAAACGUAAGUAUACAGAUACUCAAAUUAUCAUGUCACAAGUGUAGCGAUUUCAGUUAUAUUAUCCCACAAUCAUUAUGGCCAUGAAAAGAUGAAUCUAUGCUUGUACUUGACUGCUGUCACAAUUUCUUCAUUCGGGCAAGACUAUUUGAAUAGAGGUUUAACAUUUUAUUCCUGCUUUUAAGUACUUAUGUUUUGGGUGAGAUACAGGAGACCAGAUGAAAUGAACUGCAAAAUAGGAGGCUAGAUGAAGUGCAAAACCACCAAAUUGGAUUUUGCUGAAGAAAUUAUUCAGCUUGUGAGGCCAUAAAAGGAUUUUGCAGCAUUCAAGAUGUUCUGAAGAUUCUAGUAUCAUUUUUCAAAGCUUUUAUAUGUUGCACUGCAGAUAAUCUGUGAAAGUGCAAUAACUGUACAUUAUGUUUUCCUGCUCUACUGAUUUUAGAUACUUGGG